rnacentral:tRNA from 1 species
AACCUAUUAGCUCAAAUGGUAGAGCAAUGUGUCAUUGCACAUGGCUGUAGGUUCAAAUCCUACAUAAACUU